ACAGAAGCUGCAAAAUAAAAUUGCCGUAGUUUUCAGAAACAUGCUACAGAAGCAGAAUCAAACAUACGCUAAGUGUAAGUAAAAAUCAUUCAGCAUAACAUUUUGGAGUAAACAUGUCAUUUUAAUCUUUAAACAUGUGAAAUAGCGUCAAAGUAUUUCUCGAAUGUAUUAAAAUUACGAAAACAUUAGUUCAAUGUCCACUAUCAAUGUCCGAUGAGAAAACUAAUCGUCGAAAGACACAAACCACGACUAAAUCACUACAAAAAAAAUUGUCUCUUGCGACUGAUAUGUAGCGGCUGUUCUUUGAAACCGUCGCCGCUAUCAUAUCAUCAACAUAGUUUGUGGCCGUUCAAUCCUAAACCGUCGUGAUUUUUUCUAAUUUCCGCGCGACUUCACACACUCACAUCACUCUCUUUUUCUCUCCAGGAUUUCAAUUUUUUUCUCAAACCCUUUCUUCUUCACAUAUUCGUUCAAAAUCGAUUCCUUCAAUCGCUUUGUUCUUCACAUAUUUUUUUUCACAAACCUUCGUUCUUCACAGAUUUGUUCAAUCCCUCACAGAUUUUCAUCGAUUCCUUCAACUAACCCACAAAAUCCGUAUCAAGCUCACCGAUUCCUUCUUGUUCGAUCAAACUCAAGCUCAAAAUCAAACUCGAACUCGAUCAAUUGUCUUCAACCUCACUUUCAAUCGGCUUCAAGCUUGUUCAACCUUCUCCUCAAAUUCAUUCAACUUAAGCUUCAAUCUUCACAAUCCAGCUUCUGCUUCCUUCAAUCAAGCUUCAGAUUCAUUUUUCGCCGAGAUUGGUUCAAAUAUUCAGCUUCUGCUUCAGAUUCGUCCUACAGCUAUGUGCAUUCAAACUUCAAAAUCCAGGUUCAUUUGGUUAAAUUUUAUUUCCAAUUUUACUUUAAAAUUUUAUGCAAAUCAAACCCAAUUAUUCAGUUAUGAUUCAGUUAUUGAACUUAGUUAAAAGGUAUACAAAUGGAUAAUAGAUGCAAAAUGGAUAGAAAUUUAACCUAAGUAUUUUAGUGAUUGUCAAUAAAUGCAUUCUUUAGAGUCUGUAUUUUUGUUCACCUAGUGAGCAUAUAUGUUAGUUAUUGUUAAAAAUUUCAAUCUAGUGAUGCAACGGAACAGUAGACAACAUCUCAGUACACUACAAGAAAAACUUUGAUUUGUGACAAAUGCUUAGUGGUGGUUCCUAUCAACCGUUGUCGCUAGUUUUCAUUUUUGAGGAUUGCGGCCAUUACCUUUAAACGGUCGUGACUUAUUUCAUAAUCGCAGAAUCGCGUUGCCUCUUUUUUUUCCCCUUAGCCAAUAGUAGCUUGGGUCGUGACUUACUAAGAACUUAUAUUAGUAUAUGUGUAAGUGAUUCAUAGCUGUGUGUUGAGCUCAAGUAAUUAUGUUUCCAGGAUGAUAUCUCAACAUCAAUUAUAUAUAUUUUAACUUUGAGAAUCUUUGAAAAGGUUGUACUUGAGCUUGUUCCAAGGGACUAUGAUAUGGAUACAACAUCUCCUUUACAAAAGUUAGAUAUUGUCAACAUGGUUUCGAUGAUUUUCUUUUAACCAAAUAAUCAUAGAUUCUCUAAUUUGAUCAUGGAUUCUAUUUCAGCUUCAGAAUAGGGCAUAGAGAACAAUGUAAACAAUAAGCAGUUUAUUCCAAGAAAUGACAUUCAAACUUCUGAUGUUGUUUUUGCAAUCAACGCUGAUGCUGUCAUGGUCCAAGAUGCCAUUAGUGAGAAGGUUAGAUGAAUGGCAAUUGGUUGUGGCUUCAUGGAGUAGCUAUGUGUAUGAAUGUGUAUGCUUCAUGUUAAAGUUAGAACAUCAACUAGUUCAAGAAAGUGAUGAUGAUCAUCUUCACAACAACUCCCACUUUUGGAUUCAAAAAUGGUUUCAUGAGCUACAAUGUUGUAAGUAGACAACCUAAUAGAGGUUAGAUCUUUGGUUACAUGUCAGAUUUUUGUUUAUAAGGUCCUGUCGUUGAUUUUUGUUUAUAAUGAAAAUCUUUAUUUACUAAAUCAUUAAUCAACAAGAUAUAGAGAAAUUUAAUGAGGUAUGCCACAAUAGUUAUACCAUGGAACUACUGUUGUGAUCUAAGGAAAUUUGAUGUUUGAUUUGUGUUUUAUUUGAUUUAUGUGGUCAUUGGAGAACCAGUCUGUCUUGUGGGCAAUUCAAUAGAAGGAUAUGUUUCAUUAUGUUUUCCAGCAUGCUACCAUCAUUUAGUGAAAGGUGUCACAUCACAUUGCUUAGUUGCAAUGCAAUGUUGUGCCUUCAUUCUAAAUACAAAGAGACUUGCAGAAAUCAUGGUUUUUUGUUUUAGACGUGGAGAGCAAAUCUUUCUCGUUAUAGAUAAGAAAAUAUAUGGUCAAAUCCAGUUUUAAAGUCAGGUAGUUGAAGCUCUAUAUUAUCGAAUCAACCCUCCUGGUCAUUGUCCUCAUGAAGAAGUAGUCGGGUAUCCAAUUCCUCACUAUUUAGUUUGAAACUGUUCUGUCUGCCAUAAUAUUACGUGCACUUGUAGGUGUUCUUAGCUUUGUUUGGCUAAUUUAACUUUUAAUGUGUGUUUUUGUUGGAAUUGGGGGGUGUUUUUAUGAUUUGUUCAUUUUUCUGCCUUUAGGUAUCAAUCAUAGGAAAAAGGAUAUUCUGUUUUUAAUUUGUAUGAAUAAGUUGAUAUAGUUGAUCAUAAUAUAAGUAGUCAGUCUUUUUCAAAAAAAAAAUAUAAGUAGUCAGUCAAGCUUGUUUCUUGUAUUUGCAUGUCCUUGUUUCUUGUAUGCAUGUUUCUUGUAUAUGCAUGUUCUGGUAUGCAUGUUCUUGUAGAUAAAGAGUUGGUUUCAGACUAAGCUCCAAGACUCACCACAAGUCCUUAAAAAUGAAUUGGUUUCUCCACAAGGCCCUCAAUGUAAGGAAGGUUUGUUUGAUCCAGAAAUAAAGAAAAUGAAGAUCAAGAACUGCUAUAUCCCUGUGUUAGAAAAUUUGGGUUGUAUAAUUUUUUUUUAAUUAGAUAUAGUUUAUAUUUAAUUAGACUUUUGUGUUGAACUUUGGCUGUAUAAUUUUAAUUAGUAUGUUUAAGCAUUAUUUUAAUUAAAGUUAUGCUUUUGUUGAUGAUUACUGUAAUGGAUUUUUAUCAAUUAAUUUAGUAGUUAUCAGUAUGAAAUAAGAUCAAUUAAAACAGGAAAAGCUAUAAGCUAACCAAAAAAUCCCAAUUUUUUUUU